rfam:Triticum aestivum genome assembly, contig: Triticum_aestivum_CS42_TGACv1_scaffold_513471_6BS
CAUAUACUCCCCCCGUCCCAAAAUUUUGUCUUAGAUUAGUCUAGAUACGGAUGAUCUAAUACUAAAACGUGACAUUAUACAUCCACAUUUAGACAAAUGUAAGACAAGAUUUUUGGGACGGAGGGAGUACAUG